rnacentral:rRNA from 1 species
AUGAAAUAUUGCCAAGUAACACUCCUCCUGGCCUUGGUCGUUCUUGCCUCAUCACCAGCCAUGGCGACCAAGUGCCCUCCAGAGUACACCUGCACCAAGUACAUCAACCAGGGCCCAUGUGACGCCGCCAAGUGCAUGAUGGACUGUGUGAGCUCGUACAAGGGCGCAGGGGAAGGCCAGUGCUUCCCUCAAGGAUGCAUGUGCUCCUACUGCUGCAAGCCGCAUCAACGAAGAACUAUUUAA